GACGAACGCUGGCGGCGUGCCUAAUACAUGCAAGUCGAACGCAGUGGGGACGGGUGAGUAACACGUGGGUAACCUCCCAUCAGAGGGGAUAACACUUGGAAACAGGUGCUAAACCGAUACUGAUGGAUGGACCCGCGGUGCAUUAGCUAGUUGGUGAGGUAACGGCUCACCAAGGCCACGAUGCAUAGCCCACCUUGAAGGGGUAGUGGCCACACCUGGACCUAGACCCGGGCCAGACUCCCAAGGGAAGCAAGAGGAGGGAAGUUUUGGGCAGUGACCAAAGUCGUAACGAGCAACGCCGCGGGAGGUAAGAAGGGUUUCGGAUUGGAAAACUCCUGUUGUUGAGAAGCGGUAUUUAACCAGAAAAGCACGGCUAACUACGUGCCAGCAGCCGCGGUAAUAC
rnacentral:rRNA from 1 species